CUCACAUGGUUUACUCACACACAGGGUUGAAGUUCAGAGUCAAGCCUUCAGAGGCUCUGAAAAUGUCUGAAAAUGUCCUUAAUUUUGACUUUUGAGUAUGGGAUUAAGCCUUAUUCUGCAAAAAACAAGAAAAUUCUCUAUCUUUGAAUUCAGAAAAUAAGCACCUGGAACAUUCCCAGCUAUCCGUUAGAUUCUCAUAAAUUCUCAUGCGAGAUUUUUUUAGAGAGAUCACCUGAAAAAAAGUAGUAACUCGAGGAUCACUUUCAUUUACACAGCACAGUGCUGCUGCCAGAACGUCCUAUCCCCAGCUUUUUACACUCCCACCCUCCCUCAUGCCAACAUGUGUGUGAUGGGCAAUAGAUUGCAAACUGCAGUCAAACUGCAGCAGCUCUUUGCCUCCAGAAACCACAGAACAAAAUAAUGUGUGACCAGGGUGGAACUCACUGGGAUCAGUCCCUGCCCGUUCCUCUGGUGCCAUUGCUGGGUCCCAGAGCAGAGCCUGGGCCCUGCUCUGCCCCUCCCUGCUCACAGGGACACCCAGGGCUGAGGGUCCCUCUCAGCUGUGCCUCCUCUGGAGGCUGAACAGCCCCAGCUCCCUCAGCCUUUCCUCAGCAGGGAGAUGCUCCAGUCCCUUCAUCAUCUUUGCCACCCUCCACUGGACCCACUCCAGGAGCUCCAUGUCUCUCUUGUCCUGAGGAGCCCAGAACUGGACACAGCAGCCCAGAUGUGCCUCAGCAGGGCAGAGCAGAGGGGCAGCAUCACCUCCCUUAGUCUGAUGGGACACAGCUAACAGGAUUUUAUAAAGUGUCUUUCACAGAGUCCCAUGCAAUGUUGGCAGCAAAUAAAACCCAGUUUUUAAUUA